CCUACGGGAGGCAGCAGUGAGGAAUAUUGGUCAAUGGCCGAGAGGCUGAACCAGCCAAGUCGCGUGAAGGAAGACGGCCCUACGGGUUGUACACCUCUUUUGUCGGGGAGCAAAGCGAGUCACGUGUGACUCUUUGAGAGUACCCGAAGAAAAAGCAUCGGCUAACUCCGUGCCAGCAGCCGCGGUAAUACGGAGGAUGCGAGCGUUAUCCGGAUUUAUUGGGUUUAAAGGGUGCGCAGGCGGAGGUGCAAGUCAGCGGUAAAAUUGCGGGGCUCAACACCGUACUGCCGUUGAAAAUUGAUGUCUUGAGUGCGCGAGAGGUAUGCGGAAUGCGUGGUGUAGCGGUGAAAUGCAUAGAUAUCACGCAGAACUCCGAUUGCGAAGGCAGCAUACCGGCGCGCAACUGACGCUGAAGCACGAAAGCGUGGGUAUCGAACAGGAUUAGAUACCCUAGUAGUC
rnacentral:rRNA from 1 species